rnacentral:rRNA from 1 species
GUAGACGAAAUGCUAACAACGCCUAGGAGGAUCCUGAGUACGGCGGAACACGAGAAAUUCCGUCGGAAUCCGCGGGGACCAUCCCGCAAGGCUAAAUACUCCCUAGUGACCGAUAGUGAACCAGUACCGUGAGGGAAAGGUGAAAAGCACCCCGGAAGGGGAGUGAAAUAGAUCCUGAAACCGUGUGCCUACAACAAGUCAAAGCUCGUUAAUGAGUGAUGGCGUGCCUUUUGUAGAAUGAACCGGCGAGUUACGAUUGCAUGCGAGGUUAAGUUGAAGAGACGGAGCCGCAGCG